rnacentral:rRNA from 1 species
UACGUAGGGUGCAAGCGUUGUCCGGAAUCAUUGGGCGUAAAGAGCGUGUAGGCGGCCCGAUCAGUCCGCUGUAAAAGUCCAGGGCUCAACCCUGGGAUGCCGGUGGAUACUGUCGGGCUAGAGUCCGGAAGAGGCGAGUGGAAUUCCUGGUGUAGCGGUGAAAUGCGCAGAUAUCAGGAGGAACACCAAUGGCGAAGGCAGCUCGCUGGGACGGUACUGACGCUGAGGAGCGAAAGCAUGGGGAGCAAACAGG